ensembl:lncRNA
AAUCAUUUGAUAGAGUAUGGAAAAAAAAAAGAUAACACUAAAUAAUAUUAAUAAACAUGUAGAAAAUGAAAUUAGUACAUUCCAUGAAGCAGGUAUAACACAAAUUACUUUUGAAAACAAUGAGGCUUGUGUUUUGUAUGACAAUAAUAUUAUUAAUGCUGAUCAAAUUUUGAAACACCUAAACGAUUUAGAUCUUCAUGGUUUUUUUAAAAAAGAUAAAAAACAGAAUAUAAAUAUCGAUAAAAAUAAUGUUCAUAACCAUUUUAACAAAAAUAGUAACGAAGAGCAUGUGGUUAAUUUUACGUUUGUUUGUACAGUGGACAAUCAUGAUCAUAUAAUCGAACAUAACAAUAUUAAUAGUAAUAAUAGUAAUGGCGAUAUAAAUGGGAACGUAAAAAAAGAUUGUACACUAGAAGUAAAUGAUAAAAAUAUACCAACAAAAAGUGAUUAUGUAACAGCAGGAAAAGUAUAUAAAAACUUGGAACAUUUUGAGAGUAGUCUGGAAAAUGUAAAUAAUAAAAAAAACAAUUUGGAAAACGAGUAUUAUAAUAAAAACGAAGCGAAUAAAUACACUGAUAAAAAUUACAUAAAAAAUGAAAAGCAACAAAUAUAUGACAAAGUUAAUUCGGAAAAUUAUAAAUAUGAAAUAUGCUGUAAUAAUAAAGAAGAAAGGGAAAAAACAUAUAAUUUAAUAAAUGAAAAAAAAAGUAACAAAAAAAGAGAAGAAAGUAGAAAAAUAAAAAAAAAGAAAAAUAGUUAUACAAAUGUAAACGAAAAGGAAGACGUAUAUUCAUCGGAGCAUUCUUCAGGUUUCUUCGAAAAAAAUAAUAACUACAAGGUUGAAAAAAAAGAUAUAACUAAUAUGAGAACAAACGGAAUGACAGUAGAUAUAAGAUCACAUAAAGAAAAAAAAGAGAAAGAAAAAAAUCAUACACCCAAUGUGCUUAAAUCAUUUAAUAAUAUAACAAAUCGAAAGAAAAAAAAUGAAAACAAUUUCCAGCAUCAAAAUUAUGAUGACACAAAAGAAAAAAAAAACGGUUUGUUAUAUAAUAAUAACAAUAACAAUACGAAUGAUGAAACGUUAGAAAGUACUCACGAAACAUGGUAUAAUAAGAACAAAAAAAUGAAUAAUAAUACAAUGCCCUUUAGUAAUAACAUUUUAAAUAAUAAUAAACAAGAGAAACAUUUUCCAUUUUUUGAUUAUGAAAAAUAUAAACAAGCGGGAGAUAAUAAGUACAUUAUUGAAUUGAGGAUAUACGAUAUGACAUGCAAUAGUUGUGGUAAUAAAAUUAUAAAUUUUUUAAAAAAUAAGGAACUGAUUAUUGAAGGUCAUAGCUUUGCUGCUGAAAAUAAAAUAAAACUAAAAAUAAAUAUGAUAGAAAAAAAAAAACAUGAAUUGAAUAUGAAUAGUAAUAAUAAUAUUAAAUAUUAUGUAAAUAAGAUAAUGCAAGAAAUAAAAGAUAUUGGGUUUAAUGUCGAUUUGAUAGAUUUGUAUAAAGAUGAUAGUGAUGAUGAUAAAAAUAGUAAUAUAAAUAAGAGUAAUAUAUUUGAUAUAACAUUAUACGUUUUUAGAGAUGAUGUGAUAAAAGCUUAUGAUUUUUUAAAGUAUGUAAACGGAAUACAUAAUGUAGAAUACGAUAUUGAAAAAGAAUACAUUUAUAUUUUGUAUGACCCGGAUAUAAUAGGAAUAAGAUAUAUAUUAGAAAAAUUAAAAAAAGAAAAAAAUAUUGAUGCAUAUUAUGAUGAAGAUAAAGAGAAAUAUUUUCGAAGUACAAAACAAAACGAAAUAAAUAGUUCAAAAAAAAUAAUUGGAUUAAUAUGUUGUUUUGUUUUGAGUAUUUUUAUUAUCAUAUUAAAUAAUUAUAAAAUGAGUAUGGGUCCGAAUUAUGAUAAUACUUUUUAUUCUUAUGGUAAUUACAAAAAUUAUAUUAUGACAUUUAAGUUGUUUAAAAAUAAUGAUUAUAUUAACAAAUAUAAUACAUAUCUUAAUGCUCUUAGGGACGACAACAAUUUUAGUAAUAAAAGUUUUUUUUAUAAAACUGAUACAUUUAGGAGUGUAGGCUGGGGGGGUGCAUAUGCUGCCACUAACAAAAAUCGUGCGGCAUUACUUGAGAUAAGUGGUAAUAGUGCUGACAGUGAUAAAAAUAAUAAUAUUAUUGUGGCAAAACUUGAAACAGGUAAAGAUAGCGUUUGUGUAAAUGAUAAUUUAAACACGAUGAAUUGUGAUAAAAAACAUGGUAAAAAAGAUGACAGAAAAGGUGACAAAAAAGAUGACAUAAAAGAUGAUGCUGAAAACGAUAAAAAAAAAGGCGAUAAACAGGAUGACAAACAGGGUGACAAACAGGAUGAUAAAACACAUGAUAAAAAGGAUGAUAAAAAGGAUGAUAAAAAGGAUAACAAAAAAGAUGAUAUAAAGGAUGACAAACAGGAUGACAAACAGGAUG